UGGAGGAUAAGUUUGCAAGUUUGAGGCAAAAAGGCUUUGUGCUCUUGUGGUAAGAUCAUCAGGGAACAGCUCUCUGGGGGUGGUGCAGUGCAUAAGAGAGAAACUGGCUAGUGGUGGAAAUAAUACACUCCUUGGGAGUCUACCUUCUGGAUGCAAAGAAAUUCUCAUCAUCACGUGAGAGCAAGGAUAGAAAAUAUGGUGACAACAAAAUUUUGGCCAUUUAUAAAUAAUAAG
rnacentral:lncRNA from 1 species